GCGAAUAAGACUGGUACGAUAAAACGGCAAUUGUCGCAAAGGUAAUUGUUGUAUUGCGUUAAAAGACAGUAAUAAUUUGUUCAAUAACAUAUUAAUGUAAUAUUUAAAAAGAUGAAAAGGGGAGAGACCAUUAAAAUCUUAAAACAAAUGAUCCUUCUAGUUAGUUGACGGCCCGUAAAUGUGUAUACACCACCAUAAAAUCUAAUUUCAUAUAAAUAAAAAUUUUUACGUAAAAUAGAGAACAUGUUAAAACAAAGCAAUUUUUUCGCGCGUAAUAUCGAUAUGACAUGGAAAACGUUCGUUCGAGAGUCUUGCGACGUUCCAGACAUAUCAACGGAAACGAAAGAAUAUCGAUUAGGAUUUCGAGAAAACGAGGCGAAAGAGGCUUACGAGGAAAUUAUAAACGAAGAAAGCAACGGGAAUUUGCAAUUGGAAAGACGGAGGCGUUGUAGAACUGAAAAUAAUAUAACACAGAAACCAGUUGGAAAAAUUGAAGAAAAAGUCACAGUAAAUUCCAUACUGAAAGCGGUGGAGCAAAAGGAUUUGAAAUAUUUAUUGAAACACGUAACGCAGGAAAAUGUUAAUGUAACGGAUGAUUUCGGUUGGACACCGCUGAUGUCAGCUGCGUACUGCGGCCAUUUAGAUAUUAUAAAAUUUUUAUUGAGCCUCGGAGCUAACAAGAGAGCUAGAGAAAAAUCUGGGCUCACAGCUGCGCAACUAGCUUUAAAGAAAAAUUAUUUAAACAUAGUUGCUUUGCUUAAAAGGAAAACUGAAUCUAAAGCUAGUAAAAUUUCAUCGGAAAUGAGUAUAGAUAAGUCGAGAAUAAAUAACGAUACUGUACUGCAUACGAGAUCGGAGUUGAUAGAACCUUUGAAAAAUUACAGCGGAACGAUGUAUAAAAAUAGCAAUAAUAUGGAACAGCUGAUGGAAGUUACAGGGUUUUACUGUAAAAUUUGCAAAGUUAACUUUUAUCAAACGUCUUGGAAGAAGCACGAAACAUCCACGCUUCAUAUUUUUAAUACAAAGCCAAAGCUAUCGAACGCUAUGUACGGAAUAACGAAACAGAAUAAAGGUUAUCAAAUGCUUUUGAGCACCGGAUGGGACGAGCAGGGUGGUCUGGGCCCCUCGGGGAAAGGAAUAAAAUAUCCUAUAAAAACGUGCUUAAAAAUUGAUAGAAAGGGAAUAGGCCAGCCGAGUGAAAACGAAUAUAGAGUGACUCACUUUAGACCCGGAGAUAUCGCGGCAGUUAACGAUAUGAAAAUACCUAAACAGAAAUGCCUUAAAAAGAAAGACAGGGAAAAAUUAUUAAAUAGAGAACAUAGGAAAGAAAGAACAUUACGCGUUGCUUUGUCUUAAAAUGGUGUUCGACAUUUUUAUAAAUAAUAUCAGAGUUUCCUGUAGAGAUUUAAUGCAAUGUAAUUUUACAUUCGUUAUCUAUCUUAAGUGUUUAUUGUUGCAGAUGAAGUUUGAUCAGCAGAUGGCAUUAAAACAUAUACAACAGGUAGAAGAGAAGGCAGGGGAGAUUCUCAUGAGCCGUCAAGAAGUAGUUGCUUUGGACAAAAGAAGAAACAACGACAGAGUCGGAAUG